UACGGGGGGGGGUAAGCGUUGUUCGGAAUUACUGGGCGUAAAGGGCUCGUAGGCGGCCAACUAAGUCAGACGUGAAAUCCCUCAGCUUAACUGGGGAACUGCGUCUGAUACUGGAUGGCUUGGAUUCGGGAGAGGAAUGCGGAAUUCCAGGUGUAGCGGUGAAAUGCGUAGAUAUCUGGAGGAACACCGGUGGCGAAGGCGCUUUCUGGACGACAACUGACGCUGAGACGCGAAAGCGUGGGGAGCAAACAGG
rnacentral:rRNA from 1 species